rnacentral:rRNA from 1 species
CCUACGGGAGGCAGCAGUGGGGAAUAUUGCACAAUGGGGGAAACCCUGAUGCAGCGACGCCGCGUGAAGGAAGAAGUAUUUCGGUAUGUAAACUUCUAUCAGCAGGGAAGAAAAUGACGGUACCUGACUAAGAAGCCCCGGCUAACUACGUGCCAGCAGCCGCGGUAAUACGUAGGGGGCAAGCGUUAUCCGGAUUUACUGGGUGUAAAGGGAGCGUAGGCGGCGAUGCAAGUCAGAAGUGAAAGCCCGGGGCUCAACUCCGGGACUGCUUUUGAAACGGUAUGGCUAGAUUGCAGGAGAGGCAAGUGGAAUUCCUAGUGUAGCGGGGAAAUGCGGAGAGAUUAGGAGGAACAUCAGGGGCGAAGGCGACUAUCUGGACAGCAACUGACACUGAGGCACGAAAGCGUGGGGAGCAAACAGGAUUAGAUACCCUUGUAGUC